rnacentral:rRNA from 1 species
GCAACCUACUUUUACUGGGGGAUAGCCCGUCGAAAGACGGAUUAAUACCGCAUAAUACAACUUGAGGGCAUCUGAGGGUUGUUAAAGAUUUAUUGGUAAGAGAUGGGCAUGCGUGCCAUUAGCUAGUUGGUUGAGGUAACGGCUCACCAAGGCGACGAUGGCUAGGGGUUCUGAGAGGAUGAUCCCCCACACUGGUACUGAGAUACGGACCAGACUCCUACGGGAGGCAGCAGUAGGGAAUAUUGGGCAAUGGGCGCAAGCCUGACCCAGCCAUGCCGCGUGCAGGAUGAAGGCCUUCUGGGUUGUAAACUGCUUUUAUCUAGGAAGAAAAUACCCUUGCGAGGGGAACUGACGGUACUAGGUGAAUAAGCACCGGCUAACUCCGUGCCAGCAGCCGCGGUAAUACGGAGGGUGCAAGCGUUGUCCGGAUUUAUUGGGUUUAAAGGGUGCGUAGGCGGCUUUAUAAGUCCGUGGUGAAAGCCAACAGCUCAACUGUUGAACUGCCAUGGAUACUGUAAGGCUUGAGUACAGACGAGGUAGGCGGAAUGGAUGGUGUAGCGGUGAAAUGCAUAGAUACCAUCCAGAACCCCGAUUGCGUAGGCAGCUUACUAGGCUGUAACUGACGCUGAGGCACGAAAGCGUGGGGAGCGAACAGGAUUAGAUACCCUGGUAGUCCACGCUGUAAACGAUGAUUACUCGAUGUUGGCGAUACACAGUCAGCGUCUUAGCGAAAGCGUUAAGUAAUCCACCUGGGGAGUACGCCCGCAAGGGUGAAACUCAAAGGAAUUGACGGGGGCCCGCACAAGCGGUGGAGCAUGUGGUUUAAUUCGAUG